UACGGAGGAUGCGAGCGUUAUCCGGAUUUAUUGGGUUUAAAGGGUGCGUAGGCGGCCUGCCAAGUCAGCGGUAAAAUUGCGGGGCUCAACCCCGUACAGCCGUUGAAACUGCCGGGCUCGAGUGGGCGAGAAGUAUGCGGAAUGCGUGGUGUAGCGGUGAAAUGCAUAGAUAUCACGCAGAACCCCGAUUGCGAAGGCAGCAUACCGGCGCCCGACUGACGCCGAGGCACGAAAGUGCGGGGAUCAAACAGG
rnacentral:rRNA from 1 species